AAUCGCGGAUCAGAAUGCCGCGGUGAGUACGUUCCCGGGUCUUGUACACACCGCCCGUCACACCAUGGGAGGUUGGAAAUGCCCGAAGUCAGUGGCCCAACCUACGGGAGGGAGCUGCCGAAGGCAGGUUCGAUGACUGGGGUGAAGUCGUAACAAGGUAAC
rnacentral:rRNA from 1 species